UGAGUUACCGCUCUAUAACCCUUUGUGAACAUACCUACAACUGUUGCUUCGGCGGGUAGGCCGUCCCCUGAAAAGGACGCCUCCCGGCCCGGAACGGACCCCCCGCGGGACCGGACCCGGCGCCCGCCGGAGGAUAACCAAACUCUAUUGUAACGACGUUUCUUCUGAGUGGCAUAAGCAAAAUAAUCAAAACUUUUAACAACGGAUCUCUUGGUUCUGGCAUCGAUGAAGAACGCAGCGAAAUGCGAUAAGUAAUGUGAAUUGCAGAAUUCAGUGAAUCAUCGAAUCUUUGAACGCACAUUGCGCCCGCCAGCAUUCUGGCGGGCAUGCCUGUUCGAGCGUCAUUUCAACCCUCAAGCUCUGCUUGGUGUUGGGGCUCUACGGUCGACGUAGGCCCUCAAAGGUAGUGGCGGACCCUCCCGGAGCCUCCUUUGCGUAGUAACAUUUCGUCUCGCACUGGGAUCCGGAGGGACUCUUGCCGUAAAACCCCCCAAUUUUCCAAAGGUUGACCUCGGAUCAGGUAGGAACACCCGCUGAACUUAAGCAUAUCAAUAAGCGGAGGAAAAGAAACCAACAGGGAUUGCCCCAGUAACGGCGAGUGAAGCGGCAACAGCUCAAAUUUGAAAUCUGGCCCCAGGCCCGAGUUGUAAUUUGCAGAGGAUGCUUUUGGCGCGGUGCCUUCCGAGUUCCCUGGAACGGGACGCCAUAGAGGGUGAGAGCCCCGUACGGUUGGACACCAAGUCUUUGUAAAGCUCCUUCGACGAGUCGAGUAGUUUGGGAAUGCUGCUCAAAAUGGGAGGUAUAUUUCUUCUAAAGCUAAAUAUUGGCCAGAGACCGAUAGCGCACAAGUAGAGUGAUCGAAAGAUGAAAAGCACUUUGAAAAGAGGGUUAAACAGCACGUGAAAUUGUUAAAAGGGAAGCGCUUAUGACCAGACUUGCGCCCGGUGAAUCACCCAGCUCUCGCGGCUGGGGCACUUUGCCGGCUCAGGCCAGCAUCAGCUCGCCGUCGGGGACAAAAGCUUCGGGAACGUAGCUCUCUUCGGGGAGUGUUAUAGCCCGUUGCACAAUACCCUUCGGCGGGCUGAGGUACGC
rnacentral:rRNA from 1 species